CCUACGGGAGGCUGCAGUGGGGAAUAUUGGUCAAUGGGCGUAAGCCUGAACCAGCCAAGUCGCGUGAGGGAUGAAGGUUCUAUGGAUCGUAAACCUCUUUUAUAAGGGAAUAAAGUGCGGGACGUGUCCCGUUUUGUAUGUACCUUAUGAAUAAGGAUCGGCUAACUCCGUGCCAGCAGCCGCGGUAAUACGGAGGAUCCGAGCGUUAUCCGGAUUUAUUGGGUUUAAAGGGUGCGUAGGCGGCCUUUUAAGUCAUCGGUGAAAGUCUGUGGCUCAACCAUAGAAUUGCCGUUGAAACUGGGAGGCUUGAGUAUGUUUGAGGCAGGCGGAAUGCGUGGUGUAGCGGUGAAAUGCUUAGAUAUCACGCAGAACCCCGAUUGCGAAGGCAGCCUGCCAAGCCAUGACUGACGCUGAUGCACGAAAGCGUGGGGAGCAAACAGGAUUAGAUACCCCAGUAGUC
rnacentral:rRNA from 1 species